UGGGGAAUAUUGGGCAAUGGGGGGAAACCCUGACCCAGCAACGCCGCGUGAAGGAAGAAGGCUUUCGGGUUGUAAACUUCUUUUACUAGGGACGAAGGACGCGACGGUACCUGGAGAAAAAGCCACGGCUAACUACGUGCCAGCAGCCGCGGUAAUACGUAGGUGGCAAGCGUUGUCCGGAAUUACUGGGUGUAAAGGGAGUGUAGGCGGGAUUUUAAGUCAGAAGUGAAAAUUACGGGCUCAACUCGUAACCUGCUUUUGAAACUGAAAUUCUUGAGUGAAGUAGAGGCAAGCGGAAUUCCUAGUGUAGCGGUGAAAUGCGUAGAUAUUAGGAGGAACACCAGUGGC
rnacentral:rRNA from 1 species